ACCAUGCACCCCGGGGUGAGUUCUAUUUUCUUUGUGAACGGCAGAGCACCCUGGAAUGGGUUUGCCCCAAGCUUUGGAAAGCAUCAUGUUUCAGGCAGUGUACAGUGAGCUCUCACUGGUACUUGUUAAUCCACUGUAGAUGGUGUAAAAUCUCACAGCGGCCUGUAGCUAUAUUCACAGCAGGGCUCCAAGGUGAACAGCCUCUGGCAUGUUGGAACAGUGUAGGUAAGGGAAGUCGGCAUGUCAUAUCCAUAAUUUCAGGAUGAGAAUUGGCUCUAAGGGCUGGGUGGGUCAGGCUGGUGCAUGUAGCAGGGCUGGCUAUUCACCACUGCCGUACAAGGCAUCUCCAGCCCAGGGGCCCGCCAACUCUGGAUGCAAGCCAUGCCCUUCCUGUAGAUAGCCCCUGCUGGGGUGGUGGCUUCUCUCUGUUUCCCUCCCGGGGUUCCGGGCUAGUAUUCUGCCUCAGCCAAUCCCUAGUAGCUGACUUAGAACUGGUGCUGCCCAUGGCAAUCUGACAGUUUAAUUGAAACAAGGCAUCACAAAGGCCUGCAGUGGGUGUUGAGUUAAUAUGAUUUCUGCACAGUGUUCUAAACGUCAAAGUGAAGAAAUUCGAUAAUGCGCAGGUAAACAGUGGGAGUAACUAUGACUCUCUUAACCUUUCUGAAUCAUAGUGACCCUUACCUCCGCGUGGUCCUGCUGGUAACUAUCCCUGUUGGAUGAGUCGGUUAGGAGGAGUCUGUUUGGGUUUUGAAAAAAGGAUAUAACAUCUCCACCUAUGCUGACCAUGGUCUGGCAGCUAGGGUUGCUAAGAGAAACGGUGAAUCGAAACAACCAAUUCCAUAUGAGGUAUUCCCUGGAUCAACAAAACCUUGUUAGGAAGUUGGGGUUGCUUCCUCUCAAAAAUUCAAACCCCACACACUGGUUUAGAUGGAUAAGAUCAAGCUGAGAGAGAAGGCAGACACAGAUGGGCCCCGUAAAUAGCUUGCAAAACUUGCUCAACCACCCAGUCUAAUUGAUGAUCUGCAAGGCAUCAAGAUCUCAGCAUUAAGGCACAAAGGGCCUCAUUACGACCCUGGCGCUAAUGGGUUAACGGUGGCCGUAAAAGGCUGGCGGCGCCGUUAACCCAUUAGCGCCUGAUUACGAGGUCCCUUUGCGGGACCCGACCUUAACGGCUGGUCUACACCAGCCGUUAAAGUAGGGACCCGCAAAGGGACCUUGGUACGGUACCGUAAUUUGCGGUAUCGUACUUAGCACCUUCCCCAUUCCCAUAGAGCCCUAUGGGACGAAAAUGGGAAUGGGGAAGGGCCAAUGUUCAAUGGGGAAUUACCGCCCCGCCAACCUCGGAAUGGGGUGGUAAUUCCCCAUUGAACCAUGGCGGAUCCGUUACAACACCGGCACUAACCAUGGUGCUAAUAGCGCAAUGGUUUAGCGCCGGUGUUGUAAUGACGGCCAAAGAGUUUGAGGGAGUUCCUUAUGAUGGAGGAAUACCAAGAAUCUGGACUAGAAAUUGAUGGAUGACUGCCAAAAUGAAUCAGAUAGAGCACACCAGGAUGCCUGCCGAUACAGGCCUGUGAUGGUUAAUGAAGGUAAUGAAGGUCAUAGCCAUGGAGGGAUUACUGUACCUGUAAACCAUGCUCUUGCAAUACCAACUCCUAAAUUGAUUCUGUUGAGGGAUCCAGAAUCAGACUCUGAACUUUCAUCCUGAUGGUUGUGUUGGACCGUGACUCUAUGGGCACCUGCCCUCCAAUAUUAUAGAUUUUUAUAAAUGUUAUAAAUGUAUAUAUAUAUAUAUAUAUAUAUAUAUACUGUUUUAGUUAAUAUUGUUAAGGGGGUCUAAAAGUGAUGUAUUAUUACAUAUAUAUAUUGAUCUGGUGUAUGUAUGGCACCAGGUAUGCCUAUAGUAUGCUUUGGUGUUUAAAUGAUUAUGCAUUCAGCUUUACCCCGGAAUGAGCCACUCUGGUGGUAAAAAAAAUUCAAAAUUUCAUGUCUUCUCAUUGUUGGCAUGUAUGAAAGGAUUAACAGAUUCUCACUGUCCAUACCUACUAUCUAGUAAACCACAGCCAAGGGAACAAGCUUGGCAAAAUCAGCGAGAAUUGGAGACCCUGUUGAGCUUGACUAUAGUCUGGUACAGUGAGGAGACAUGAGAGGUGUAGGAUAGGUGGGAGGCCCUCGAGCCAGUGGUAAACUACCACCAUUGUCAUAAUCUUCUCACUUACCCAGUGAGGUUGAGGGGUCAAGCCCCAUGGGGCUGUCACCUCUGGCUCCAAGCACCCGCUCCAUACAGGCAUUACCUAUUCUAGGACAUUGACAGGUGGGGUGCUUGACUGAGGCAGAACACCUAUCCUAUGAUAAUGCAGGUGUCAUAAGGUAAGCUCAGUGAGGACAGAAACAUCCUGUGGAGACGAAGGGCAAUAGCUUACUGGAUCUUGAUUUUCUGUAUGAAAACAGACCAUGUAAGUGGGGCAUCACAAUCCUUCUGACUUUUUGUGUUUCCAGCAGGAGGUGUGCGAAAAUAACUGUCUUGUGGCAGCCAAGAAUACAUAGCAACAUCGCAUUUUGAUCCUUUCAUGUCAGCUCUUCCUAUCAUUGUGAAGCAGAAUUUAGCAAACGUUGGAUUGUUCACCCACUAAUAGGGAAUUUGAUCGGGUUUAGACCGUCUUGUGGCAGGUUAAGUUUUCUCUACUGUUAAUGUAUUGUUGCAAUAGUAAUCCUGCUCAGUACGAGAGCAACUGCAUGUUCAGAUAUUUGGUGUAUAUGCUUGACUGAGGAGCCAAUGGGGCGAGCUGUCAUCUGUGAGAUUAUUACUGAAUACCUCUAAGUAAGAAUCCCCCCUAAUCUAUAAUGUGGAGCCUCAGUUGUUCUAGGAUAGCCAGUCUCUGGGCCGGUGCAUAGAGCUGCUUGCCUCAGGACUCAUGUCUGGACAGAAGGGACAACCUCUCUUGCCCGUAGUGAACCACAUGU
rnacentral:rRNA from 1 species